AACGAACGCUGGCGGCAGGCUUAACACAUGCAAGUCGAACGGUUGUAGCAAUACAGCAGUGGCAGACGGGUGAGUAACACGUGGGAACCUUCCUAGGGGUACGGAACAACUCAGGGAAACUUGAGCUAAUACCGUAUACGUCCGUGAGGAGAAAGAUUUAUCGCCCUUAGACGGGCCCGCGUAGGAUUAGGUAGUUGGUGGGGUAAUGGCCUACCAAGCCUACGAUCCUUAGCUGAUCUGAGAGGAUGAUCAGCCACACUGGGACUGAGACACGGCCCAGACUCCUACGGGAGGCAGCAGUGGGGAAUCUUGGACAAUGGGCGCAAGCCUGAUCCAGCCAUGCCACGUGAGUGAAGAAGGCCUU
rnacentral:rRNA from 1 species